CUGGGCGCAGCCUGAUCCAGCCAUGCCGCGUGCAGGAUGACGGUCCUAUGGAUUGUAAACUGCUUUUAUACGAGAAGAAACACUCCAACGUGUUGGAGCUUGACGGUAUCGUAAGAAUAAGGAUCGGCUAACUCCGUGCCAGCAGCCGCGGUAAUACGGAGGAUCCAAGCGUUAUCCGGAAUCAUUGGGUUUAAAGGGUCCGUAGGCGGUUUAGUAAGUCAGUGGUGAAAGCCCAUCGCUCAACGGUGGAACGGCCAUUGAUACUGCUAAACUUGAAUUAUUAGGAAGUAACUAGAAUAUGUAGUGUAGCGGUGAAAUGCUUAGAGAUUACAUGGAAUACCAAUUGCGAAGGCAGGUUACUACUAAUGGAUUGACGCUGAUGGACGAAAGCGUGGGUAGCGAACAGGAUUAGAUACCCUGGUAGUCCACGCCGUAAACGAUGGAUACUARCUGUUGGGAGCAAUCUCAGUGGCUAAGCGAAAGUGAUAARUAUCCCACCUGGGGAGUACSUUCGCMAGAAUGAAACUCAAAGGAAUUGACGGGGGCCCGCACAARCRGUGGAGCAUGUGGUUUAAUUCSAUGAUACGCGASGRACCYUACC
rnacentral:rRNA from 1 species